CCCCUCUCAGGGUGGCACCUGGAGAGUUUCCAGUGCUCUACCAGUCUCGACUAUGGGAGGAAGAGACAAGCAGAGGCCUACCUAUUCCAUUCUCAGCUUGGCCAGUGGCUAGCGAGUGGAAGGCCAUCUGCUACAAGU